GAUGAAGAACGCAGCGAAAUGCGACAAGUAGUGUGAAUUGCAGAAUUCAGUGAAUCAUCGAAUCUUUGAACGCACAUUGCGCCCCUCGGUAUUCCGUGGGGCAUGCCUGUUCGAGCGUCAUUUACCCCUCAAGCACUGCUUGGUGUUGGGCGUCUGUCCCGCUUCGCGCGCGGACUCGCCCCAAAGGUAUUGGCAGCGGUCGUGCCAGCUUCUCGCGCAGCACAUUGCGCUUCUCGAGGCGGUCGAUCGGCGUCCACGAAGCUCACCUCCACCGUUUGACCUCGGAUCAGGUAGGGAUACCCGCUGAACUUAAGCAUAUCAAUAAGCGGAGGA
rnacentral:misc_RNA from 1 species